rnacentral:misc_RNA from 1 species
GGGACGAGCCAUGGCGUUCGUUAUGUGAGUCCGCGACACCGAUGCCAUGGCUGACGGGGGUCGAGAUUUUCCUGUGCCGAACCUCCCACCGAAGGCGUUCUCCGUCAAUCUCGGGGGGUCGAGGACAUCGGCAAUGUUUUCGCUUACGGGAGGCUUGUUUCAGAUGCAAUCAGCACUUCGCAGAUCGUCUAUCCUAGGCCUAGCAUUGUGACUAGCAAUCGGAGAUUGCGUUAAGCUACAGCAUCCACUAUAACCAGUUGUGACAACUUUGCUCGAAAAAACCACCUCCAUUGCCACCACGCCGAAGUGUCUUCUUUGACAAAUGCAACGGCCCUGGUGACCUGUCGUCUGUUCCUCCAGCUCCAUCUUCCACAUCAACUUGGACAAGCUCAGAUUUUCUUAGGCUUAUGCACCAACGAGGCGGAGAA